AUUGAACGCUGGCGGCAGGCCUAACACAUGCAAGUCGAGCGAGCGGCGGACGGGUGAGUAAUGUCUGGGAAACUGCCUGAUGGAGGGGGGUAACUACUGGAAACGGUAGCUAAUACCGCAUACCAUCAGAUGUGCCCAGGUGGGAUUAGCUAGUAGGUGGGGUAACGGCUCACCUAGGCGACACUCCCUAGCUGGUCUGAGAGGAUGACCAGCCACACUGGAAUUGAGACACGGCCCAGACUCCUACGUGAGGCAGAAGUGGGGAAUAUUGCACAAUGGGCGCAAGCCUGAUGCAGCCAUGCCGCGUGUGUGAAGAAGGCCUUCGGGUUGUAAAGCACUUUCAGCGGGGAGGCGUUACCCGCAGAAGAAGCACCGGCUAACUCCGUGCCAGCAGCCGCGGUAAUAC
rnacentral:rRNA from 1 species